UUCAGUGCGGCAUUUAUUUGGGCAACAUUUUUCAUUAAAGGAGCAUUGAAAAUCCGAAACGCAUCUAGGAAAACAUUUCGACACGCUGUCCUUCAAUGGGCAAUGACCACCUUUGACUAAAACAAAUGAACGGUAUGCACUUACAGCUCGGACCACAUUUUACAAUACAAGUUACGAUAUCAACCGAUAAAUCGCAAUGAAAAAUGGCAUGACUCGUGUGAUAACGUGAUCGUAAAUAUGGGAUGCAUUAUGAAAGGCCGAGUCCUUGACAAUACUUUUCGUUUUGUCGUAUUCUACCUGAGUGCGUGGGAACUUGCACAACUUUUUAAAGGAAUGUGUCUUUUGUUUAUAUGUAGGUCUUUGUCGCGUGCACGCGAAUGAAUGACUUGAUAACGAAUUAUAAAUAUCAACCACCAGAAUUGUUCAACUGGCAGAUGAACCACGUCCAAUUGAUGCACGAUAACAACGCAGCUUCUUAAAUCUCUCCUUUUUCACUCUGUCUCUCUUCUUUUGCCAGGUCAUCUAUGUCCUCUCGUUCAUUUCCACCUCUAUCUUGAGAGCGAUAGGUAACUUAUUUGUCGUGAACGGUAGAGGAAGCUGGACGAUCGGCUGAUUCAACAAGUUUCCGACAAUCCUCUAUACCAUUUCGUUUUAUAAGCGGUUUAAUAGUCAUUAUCGAAAUGUUUUCUCGUUAUGAUUCAAACGAGUAUUCGAGGAAUAUUGCACUUGGGUAUUUCAAUAGGAUAUGUAGUACAUUGAAAGACUCUUCUGGUAAUGGAACAACUGGAAUUUCCAAGGAUUCAACUAUCUCAAUGUCUGGUUUUUGACAAGCCAGAGCACCACAACGAUUUUUGCAACAUUUCAAUGUUCCUCUGCAAUCACUGUCAACACUGCAGUUACAGGUUUGGAACAAACAAAGCCUCCACAGUUGGUGGGACAACACUUGCCAAUUCCUAAACAAUGAGAAUCAGAGAAGCAAGAUUGACUACAAAUUUGCACUGGCAAUGCUGGUGGACAGGAACCUGGUUUCUCAGCAAAUGG